rnacentral:rRNA from 1 species
UACAGAGGUCUCAAGCGUUGUUCGGAUUCAUUGGGCGUAAAGGGUGCGUAGGCGGCGCGGUAAGUCGGGUGUGAAAUCUUGGAGCUUAACUCCGAAACUGCAUUCGAUACUGCCGUGCUUGAGGACUGGAGAGGAGACUGGAAUUUACGGCGUAGCAGUGAAAUGCGUAGAUAUGCGGAGGAACACCGAUGGCGAAGGCAAUCCCCUGGGCCUGCACUGACGCUCAUGCACGAAAGCGUGGGGAGCAAACAGG